rnacentral:tRNA from 1 species
AGCAGUGUGGCUCAGUGGAAAGAGCCCGGGCUUGGGAGUCAGAGGUCAUGAGUUCAAAUCCCAGCUCUGCCA